UUUUCUUUUUCCUUCUUCUUCUUCGCCGCUCUCCUAUCCUGAGUCUCCUCCUCCAUCACUGUGUUCAUAAGAACACACGUUAAACACCACCAAAUCCAUCACUGUUUGUUUGAUUAAUUCAAUAAGUUAACAAGAAGUCUACAACAAUUAAAUUUAGACUGAGGAGUGAAUUGGGUACCCGAAAUCUCGAUCUAUUUGUUCUGAAUCUUCUGAUUCCUUAAUCAUUUGAUUAGCGUUACUUGGUCCCAUCAACAAUAAUGCCACCACAAGUGCUGCUGCCAUGGAAAUGGAAUAGAAGAUCAAGAUUCAAGACUUUGUAUUUGUCAUUGCCAGUUCGCCACCACUGUCCAAUCAUUCUGUCAUUGCUACUGCUACUUGAUAAUGCCACCACCACUGUGGUUAAGAAUUAAGACUAUUGUGUGUGUUUGUGUGCUACUGCUACUUUUUCUUUUUUUCAGAUUUUCAAGACUUUGGUUGUUUGGAACUUUGGUUUUCUAGUAUUAUUAUUACGUGUUA